AAGAAAGGCAUGCUGGGCAAUGUAGUUCCCAGCCCGGUAGGUGGCAGGCGUCGGCGAGAAGGCGGGUGCCCGGUUCUCUCAGGCUUUGGCACCGGAAGGGCAUAGCUACGGCUGAGAGGAGAGCCAAAGGUUUCUUGGGUGACAAGGCUGUUCCCUCUGCAGAUCUGUUUAGAUUCAGGUGGGAAGGCUCUCAAAUAGGCUGGACUCGAGUGUUUGCCCUGUCAAGGCUAUGAAGGUGACACCACAGCAAGGGAAGCCACCAGAGGUUUCUGAAGGUAGAGGUAAAAAUAGUGGGGGGAAAAUAACCAUUUUUGGAUAAAUAAUGACUUAAUAGGAGGAGAGAGUGAGCUGAGGCAAUUUCAGAAGCCAAAUACAAAAGCUAAGACGACUGGAAGUGCAAAUACAAGGAUAUAGAUGGAGUAAGGUAUUUCAGAGGAACUGUGCAGGAGCUGGUGUUGGGGUGCAGCAUGUUUAACUUGAAGU